rnacentral:rRNA from 1 species
AACGAACGCUGGCGGCAUGCCUAACACAUGCAAGUCGAACGGGAUCCAGACUUCGGUCUGGUGAGAGUGGCGGACGGGUGAGUAACGCGUGGGAACCUGCCCAAUGGUCUGGGAUAACCGCGGGAAACUGCGGCUAAUACCGGAUAAGCCCGAGAGGGGAAAGAUUUAUCGCCGAUGGAGGGGCCCGCGUCCGAUUAGGUAGUUGGUGAGGUAACGGCUCACCAAGCCGACGAUCGGUAGCUGGUCUGAGAGGAUGAUCAGCCACACUGGGACUGAGAUACGGCCCAGACUCCUACGGGAGGCAGCAGUGGGGAAUAUUGGACAAUGGGGGCAACCCUGAUCCAGCAAUGCCGCGUGAGUGAUGAAGGCCUUAGGGUUGUAAAGCUCUUUUGCCAGGGAAGAUGAUGACUGUACCUGGAGAAUAAAGCCCCGGCUAACUUCGUGCCAGCAGCCGCGGUAA